rnacentral:rRNA from 1 species
AAUUCGAAGCAACGCGAGAACUUACCAGGCCUUGACAUGCCAGUGACCGGUCGCAGAGAUGUGACUUUCUCUUCGGAGCACUGGACACAGGUGCUGCAUGGCUGUCGUCAGCUCGUGUCGUGAGAUGUUGGGUUAAGUCCCGCAACGAGCGCAACCCUUAUCUCCUGUUGCCAGCAUUCAGUUGGGCACUCAGGCGAAACUGCCGGUGAUAAGCCGGAGGAAGGUGGGGACGACGUCAAGUCAUCAUGGCCCUUACAGCCUGGGCUACACACGUGCUACAAUGGUGACUACAGUGGGCAGCAAUGGCGCGAGCCGGAGCUAAUCUCCAAAAGUCAUCUCAAUUCGGACUGUUCUCUGCAACUCGAGAGCACGAAGCCGGAAUCGCUAGUAAUCGUGGAUCAGCAUGCCACGGUGAAUACGUUCCCGGGUCUU